UUAGAGUUUGAUCCUGGCUCACGAUGAACGCUGGCGGCGUGCCUAAUACAUGCAAGUCGUGCGAGGUUCUUCGGAACCUAGCGGCGAACGGGUGAGUAACACGUAUUCAAUCUGCCCUAAAGAUGGGAUACCUCGGGAAACCUUGGCUAAUACCGGAUAGGAACUUUGAUCGCAUGAUCUUAGUUUGAAAGUACCGUUUGGUGCACUUUAGGAUGAGAAUGCGGCGCAUUAGUUAGUUGGUGAGGUAACGGCCCACCAAGACGAAGAUGCGUAGCCGGCCUGAGAGGGUGAUCGGCCACAAUGGAACUGAGACACGGUCCAUAGGGCUACGGGAGGCAGCAGUAGGGAGUUUUCGGCAAUGGGGGAAACCCUGACCGAGCAACGCCGCGUGAAUGAUGAAGGCCUUCGGGUCGUAAAAUUCUGUUGUAAGAGACGAACUGUGAGGGUAGGAAAUGCCCCUCACUUGACUGUAUCUUACGAGAAAGGGACGGCUAACUACGUGCCAGCAGCCGCGGUAAUACGUAGGUCCCAAGCGUUAUCCGGAAUUAUUGGGCGUAAAGAGUGAGUAGGUGGUUUCUUAAGUCUGGAGUUAAAGGCAGUAGCUCAACUAUUGUACGCUUUGGAAACUGGGAGACUAGAGUGCGGGAGAGGUAAAUGGAACUCCAUGUGUAGCGGUAAAAUGCGUAGAUAUAUGGAAGAACACCAGUGGCGAAGGCGAUUUACUAGACCGAUACUGACACUGAAUCACGAGAGCGUGGGUAGCAAAUAGGAUUAGAUACCCUAGUAGUCCACGCCGUAAACGAUGAGCAGUAAGUGUAGGGGUUACCCUGUGCUGAAGUUAACACAUUAAGUGCUCCGCCUGGGUAGUACGUUCGCAAGAAUGAAACUUAAAGGAAUUGACGGGGGCCCGCACAAGCAGUGGAGCAUGUGGUUUAAUUCGACGCUACGCGAAGAACCUUACCAGGACUUGACAUGGAAUUAAAGGCCUCAGAGAUGAGGAGAUAGUUAUAGUUCACACAGGUGGUGCAUGGUUGUCGUCAGCUCGUGUCGUGAGAUGUUGGGUUAAGUCCCGCAACGAGCGCAACCCUUGCCCUUAGUUACCAUCAUUAAGUUGGGGACUAUAGGGGGACCGCCGGUUUAAACCGGAGGAAGAUGGGGAUGACGUCAAAUCAUCAUGCCCUUUAUGUCCUGGGCGACACACGUGCUACAAUGGCCGGUACAAAGAGAAGCAAUAUGGUGACAUGGAGCAAAUCUCAAAAAGCCGGUCUCAGUUCGGAUUGUAGUCUGCAACUCGACUACAUGAAGCUGGAAUUGCUAGUAAUCGCGAAUCAGCCAUGUCGCGGUGAAUACGUUCACCGGGCCAUUGUACACAUCGCGCCACGUCCAAGAGGCGAAAUUUCUGUUUAAACCAUAUCAGGANCUGGUCCCCAUUUCAGUGAGCGCUAAUUCUGGCUGCAGUCUGG
rnacentral:rRNA from 1 species